rnacentral:rRNA from 1 species
GACGAACGCUGGCGGCGUGCUUAACACAUGCAAGUCGAACGGAAAUGCUUUGCUUUUGUGGUUUGCUCGAGUGGCGAACGGGUGUGUAACACGUGAGUAACCUGACCUUGACUUUGGGAUAACUUCAGGAAACUGUGGCUAAUACCGGAUAGUAGCUCUUGCUGCAUGGUGGGGGUUGGAAAGUUUCGGCGGUGGCGGAUGGACUCGCGGCUUAUCAGCUUGUUGGUUGGGUAGUGGCUUACCAAGGCUUUGACGGAUAGCCGGCCUGAGAGGGUGACCGGCCACAUUGGUACUGAGAUACGGCCCAGACUGAUACGGGAGGCAGCAGUGAGGAAUAUUGCACAAUGGGCGGAAGCAAGAUGCAGCAACGCAGCGUGCGGGAUGAAGGCCUGCGGGUUGAUAACCGCUUUCGCCUAUGACGAAGCGUGAGUGACGGUAAUGAGUAAAUAAGCUCCGGCUAACUACGUG